GGUGGGGUUCCCGAGUGGCCAAAGGGAGCAGACUGUAAAUCUGCCGUCAUCGACUUCGAAGGUUCGAAUCCUUCCCCCACCACCA
rnacentral:tRNA from 60 species